CAGCCGCCGCGGUAAUACGAAGGGGGCUAGCGUUGCUCGGAAUGACUGGGCGUAAAGGGCGCGUAGGCGGCGAUCAAAGUCAGGCGUGAAAUUCCUGGGCUCAACCUGGGGGCUGCGCUUGAUACUGGGUUGCUUGAGUGGGGAAGAGGGUCGUGGAAUUCCCAGUGUAGAGGUGAAAUUCGUAGAUAUUGGGAAGAACACCGGUGGCGAAGGCGGCGACCUGGUCCUUUACCGACGCUGAGGCGCGAAAGCGUGGGGAGCAAACAGGAUUAGAUACCCGAGUAGUCCCUGUCUCUUAUAC
rnacentral:rRNA from 1 species